CCCCGCUCUCGUCCUCGCGGUGGCGCCCAUUAAUCAUUCCGCGAAAUCCGAAAUAACUCUGCUUUCGUCGCUGCUACUUCAGCGAGCGUAUUUCGUGAAUAUUCCGCGUAAUUUAAUAAUUUAGCUUCUCUGCAACCGUCGUCGCUUUCCUUCGCGUUUGGCAAAGCUCUGCAUGGGUAACAACACGCAAGGCUACGUGCGAGUGUGGGAGCGAGGGAAAGCGCUGUGUGUAAUUCGCGAGGAGAGAAUUUUACAGCAAAUAUUGUUACAGGAUUUACCUACUGUAACUGAGAAACAGAUCGACGUUCUGCAGCAAUUCAUUAUUCUUUCAUUAUCCUUUCAUAUGCUUAUAUUUUAAAAACCGAAAUAUAUCAUAUUAAAACACUUGCUAUGUUUCUGGUAAAAUCUACCUAAAAUCUAUCAUGUUCCUUGGAAAGACAGAUUUUACCGACAAUCUACUCUUGCAUUACAAAAAGCAUAGUAAAAGAAUUUAGGGUAAUUGUCCAUAUUACUGCGUUUAUCUCUAUUAGUGUACCUUUCUAUUUAAAUAUAAAACGAAAACUAUUACAAAUAAAUAGAAAAAGUAUGUUUUAAAAUUAAGUUAAUGAAAAAUACUUUUGCUAUUUAUUUUUUUGAUUAUGUUUUUUAUGGCUUAUUUAGAGGCACACUAACAGGAACAGACACAGCAAUGUGGACAGUUAUCCUACACGAAAAUUAAGAAAAAUGAUAUUCUCUCCGUGCAUUGGCUUGCGUUUAUUUCAAUUGAACGCAAUUACAAUCAAACGCUUUGACGAUGCUCACCAGGAGCAGCUCAUCAAGGCACCAAAAGUUGCAGGCCGCGUCGUGGAAUCUGGCGAGUCUCGUUAUUGCGAUUUCUGCGUCAGCCCGGAAGUCAGUCGGUUGCGUCGCGUCGCGGGUCGCCCGACCCCAAAUCCGUCAUCCGCACGGACCACCGACAACGCGCGCCUCGGGAAACCGACAUGACUCUCUGUAUACGUAAUUAAUAAAUUGCGGUGGCGAACGCGCGCUAUUUAGGCCGCCGCUCAUUUCCAUCCGGAUCUCUCUCCGUUCCUCGCGCCGUUCUGUCGCGCGUUGUCGCUCUCCUCCUCCUCCUACUCGUCGUCGUCGUCGUCGUCGCGCGACGACGAGAGUUGCGCUUGCUUGCGUAAUCACCUAGUUGUAAUAAGUCGUCUCUUCUCCGUCGCGAUCCAAUCCCCGGGGCCCUGACGCCGAAGGCGCGUAUAAAUACGUCGCCUCGAAAAUUCGCGCAUCUGCGCGUCUUCGCGCGUAACGAGGCGAUCAUAAGACGUCGCUUCUCCUCGCGCCUCGACGUUCGAAUCUUCCGAGUCGAGCGGUCAGAAAUAAUUUCGGGAGGCAAUGAGGGAGAGAGGGGGAGAGGGCGCAUCCCGAUGUUAAACUCGCCGCGUUCUCGCCGUUAUCGUUCUGGUGUUAUCGACGUUACGCGGAAUCGUUGCAACGUUCCACAACUCGCAACGGAGGUUCCGUAUCCCGCUUUUAAUCCUACGCGUACAAUGUUAGUUCUAUCAAACCCGAACGAAUAUUUGAUCGCCCACUACUCUCUUGUAAAGGGUCUGGGAAAAUGUGAUACCUCUGUAUACUCUGUGAAUUCUAUACUUUAACACGUUUGCUGAUUAUGCUAAAUGUUUACGUCACGAACAAUACUGCUUAUGCGGAAUAUAACAGUUGGUACUCAUAUUAAUGGAAAUUAUAUUCAGCUAUAAAUUCAAGCAAUACUUUUUCUUCUUCGUCUUUUCACACGAUCUCGUUGGUUUUAUUUUUUAAUACUAAGGUAUAUGAACGAAAAUUUUUACUACCAAAGUAUCACUGAAGUAUCAAUUGCUAACUUAAUUAUCAAUCAGUUAUUAAUUUUGCUCUUGUUGCAUCAGAAAUGAAGAAAGGUACGUCCACAUUUUCGACCAAUUCGUGAGUUGAAAGAGUAUAAAUUUUCCAACGAAAUUAUGAUAGUUCAAAGUUCCCUUCAAAUUUAGCAGACUUAUACUUACUAUAUGCCCAAAAACUAUGCUUGUACGCGGAGGAUUAAUUUUUUCGGGAAAAAUUCGCAGCAGUUGUUGCAAGUAACAGAGAAGUGUCUACAAACGCGCCCUUAACCAUUUUGCAAUUUUGCAAAGGAGGGGAGUAUCACUGAGAGAUAAAAAAACGAUCUCGCUUCACAUCGUUAAUGCGGUUGUGAAUAACCCGCCUCGACGGCUUCGUUUUCUUCUUUUUUUUUCAUCAGAAGUGUGCAAAGCGCGAGGAUUGAAUUCGUAUCUGAAUUAAUGAUAACGACGUCAAUUGCAAACUCGCAGAGGAAAACCGGCGGCUUCCGACUCCGCCUUCGUCCUCUCGCCCUCUCGGUCGUUCACUCACUCGAGAGAAUCGAAAUUAAAAUCGCAGUGCUUAACCCAAUUCGCGGCGAAUAGCGAGUAGGCGAACGGGGGCGUCCGAUUUUUCAAGCCAGCGCGUCCGCAAUUAUCCGGGGCUUCUUUUCUUGCUUCGGCUUUUCCUUUAACGAGAAGAGAGAGAGGGAGAGGGGGAGAAAGAGAGAGAGAAUCUCUCUCUUUCUCACUCCUCUUCUGUUAGGCUUCUUUGUAUCAGCGCAUGAUCGCUUCUUAAAUCCUUGACACACGCCGCACGUCUACGAGGGCCCGUUGACUUUUUCUGGACAGCGCGAAUUUAAUGGGUCACCACGUCCCUCCCCGUGUUGUGCUUUGCGUCACAUACAUCUACCCUCCGCGUUGUCUCUUCCCAUUAGCGCCCUCGGCUCAACCGCACCAUAUCCUUCGCGUCGUCGUGCGGAAAGAAGUCGAUGUCGUCAUCUCGUGGGAAGAAUAGACGGACGCGGGAAUAUUAAUGAGUAUUGCAAUCUCGCGAAAUCUCGUGAAUCUCAAAUCUUUGAAUUGCGUAAGUUUGAUUUGCUAGUUUGAGCUUGGUCCCGCUUCUAUCUGCCAGUUGUUAAUUAUCUCGCGACAUGCGACCGGGCGUGUGAAAAGGUGCGUGGGGAAAGAAGUUUGGUCGGAUAAAUCAAUCUCUGGUGAGAUAUGAACCAUUUCGAAAUUCCGACUAGAAUUAUCAGAAUGUUGUUUAAAUUUAUUAACCGGUAGAUCUGAAUAACCGAACUUUAAUGACUUUCGCCGAGGAUUUCUGAGUCGUUCAUAUUUCAUCAGAAAUCAGUAAAAUAUGAACAAUUCAACCAAACUUUCUUUCCUACGUGUAUCCUGCAUUCAGAAGAUCUGAAAUUUUCCCGUGCUGCGAAUUCAACGUUUGAUAAUUAAUUCAAUUACCAAUCAGUCACUAAUUUAAUGCUUAUUGCACCAGGAACAAAGAAAGAUACGUCAACAUUUACGAUCAACCCCGAGUCGUGAGGGGAUGAAAAGCCGUGCAAGAGCCAUUGCGAAACUCGAUGCAGAGAGAGGAAAGAGAAACGCGAUUCUCCUAGGUUUAACCGUUUAAGGAUUAACCGUUUGAUCGCACGAAGGGGACGAAUCUCACUCGGUGUUCAACUUUUUCCCCUCACUUUGACACCGGCUGAAAGAGUGUCGACGGCUUGGUUGCGUUCCGCGCGUGUCCCCGUCCAGGAUUUUUACGUGCUGUGCUGCGUGCUCGCAGCCACGCGAGAAAUGUCGGUGUAAAAGGAAGAUGAUUUUAUAACGAGACUCUCUCGCCGGUCGGCUCGGCACGUGUAAUAUCGUUGUCAUUGCGUCGCGUGUCCGUUGUGUACCUUUAUAUCGCGCCAAUGUCGUCACUGACGGGCUAAUCGCUCGUGCAGCGGGAUUUCGCGGUGAUUGAUCGACACGUCCCCGUCGACACCCCGUGCCCGGGGUUGCAGGUCGAAGGGAAAUGCAAAUCCCGCGACCUCGCAGUCUCUCCGGCCGCGCGCAAAAUUCCGCGUCGCGAAACGGAACAGGCCUUCCUCCCUCUCCUCUCCCCCUCCCCCUGCGUUUUUUGCGAACUCGUCGAAAAUUUACGGCUGUGGACUCGGAUAAAACGUUCGUUACUGUUAUUGGCUCGCCAGACUGACCUUGACUUCGUGGACGACGUUACGACUUCCUAACGAUUCGGCCGAGCUGAGAGGAGGGUGCCGCGGGAACAGAGGGGAGCGCGCGUGCGCUAUUAUAUAUGGAGCGUUUCGGGAUCAGCAGAUGUCCCUUUCGCGCUCGUACACGUCGGAAGACAAACUGAGCUGAAUUAUCGUUUCAAUAAUUCAAAGAUAUCCAUAGUUACCGGAAAUUACGUUAGGCGUGUUCGAAAACAACGUAGGGGUGCGGGCGAAUUCCGGGCGUCCGAUAGAAUCUCAUCACGCGGUUCACUUCAACCGCCGCACCUUGCCCUGACACGAAUUUCAUUUCAUUCUCAAAAAAUGUCUCGAACAAUGUGAUAAUGAUCGUAGUAAUGAUCUUGUUUUUCUUUCUGUUUCUUUCUCUUUUUUUCAACAAGAAGCAUAUAGCUUCGUUCAGCGGGAAAUGGGCUUCGAUUUCGUUGUGGAAUUAGCAACCACAAAAGGCCGCUCAUUGGUGGUGGUGGUCUGAUAAAGUGAUACCCAAGUAGAAAGAGCGACUUCUUUCUAGUCAGUAACCGGCCAGGAAUUCUGCUCACUGGCUGGCUUCUGACCAGUGCCUUCAUCAAACUGUCUCUUAUUAAAUUCUGUCACACAGUUCUCACUGUUUGAUAUUCUACAAUGUAAAAUAUUACAUUUUAUUAUUCAAUAUAUUUCGUUACUAAAUAUUUUUUAUUGCUCAGUAUAAAAAUAACGUGAAACUCAGCGUUUUUCCACGUGGAAAUUCAUUUUUUAUCGAGAUUGAGUAUCUCGAGAUGGUAUAGCUUUAUUUUUAAUUAGCUUAAACCUGGCGGGUUAUCCGGGUUAUCACAAAUCGUUAAGGGGAUGAAAUCAGGAGAAAAGGAUGGAGUGUUCAUGUUUCAUGCGACAAUUAUUUUCCGCAGAUUCCUAGAAGGUAAUUAGGCAAAAUUUCCAGAUCGAUCAAAGGAUACAUACAGGCACAGACAGACAUUCUAUUUUACAUAUAUAGAUUACCAUUUUUUCUUUCUUAAUUUUCGUGGUCAGUAUUUUCCGAGUUUUUACUAUACAAUUUCCCAGUAUUGAUUUACCACCUUUAUUGCUUGGUUUCUGAUCAGUAAUUGGCUGGUAGAUACCGACCAAUAUUCUCCUCUGCUUAGUUUCUGAACACAGUUACUGUCUCAACCUAAUCCUAACCAAUAAAAACUGGCCAGUUUCUGGCUAGCUUUUCCUGGAGAUUUUUCUACUUGGGUACCUUGUACAGCCUUGUGUAACAAAUUUUUCCAUCGUUACGACUUUCGUUGUUGAACGUCGCCGCAAUUUGAAUUACCUUUGUCCUUUCUUCUGGCGGAAACCUUCAUCGAUAAUCGAUGAACGCGCGCCAUUAGCUACGAUCAAACGAGCCGAUGUGUAUUCCCACAAUAAUAAAGAACAACGUGACGUGUUUUUGUGCCGUGUAAAAUUUGUCCUCGCCCACGUUUCUCGCGUUACGCCGGCCGGAUUGCCCGCGUUUGAUCGUUCCCAUCACUUCUGUCUCGAUUAAGUCGCCCUCGUGCGCCCCGACAAAGGCGCGUCAAUUACUUUCGGACUCUCAUCGAUAAUUCAUUGUUCUCUCCUCCUUCCCUCCCUCCCUCCCGCGUACCUAUUUCUCUUUUUCUGUUCCACACACGUGUGUACGGCAAUUGUUUCGCGAUACCGAGCAAAUGUAAACGCGUUUCUGAUCGAUCUACUGGUCGUACAAAAAUGGAAACUGUGAAUUCGUGAAAUCGCGUCUAAAUGUGAUUUUAAACAGUUUGCCGGAAUGUCGUUGGAGGUGCGCGGAGAAAAACACGAAGCCGGGCUCGAAUCCAGCCUGUUCUUGCCUGUUCUCUUUUUAAUGCAUUCGAGAUACUUUCCAUAGCAGUUAUUCGGUAAUAUUUUCAACGUGGGAUCGCGACGAAACGGAAUCUUUUGCAUGCGACGUGGGAGGCUUCUCCCCGAGCUUUACGCUUCCAAAUGCUUCGAGUGCUUCUCGGUGCUAAGAGGAAAGCAAACGGAAGGCAUUUGUUGUCAAUUAGAGCGGAGAAACGUGCGGAUUGACGCGGCGAUAUAACGCGCGCGGCCAGCAGCAGGCUCGUUCCCGCUGGCGGAUAACAAUCUUAACGGUAUGAGUGGCACCGUGUGCCUCCGUGCUUAACCGCGCUCGUAAAAGUUACGAGCGGCGUAUUAACGAUCAAUUUCGCCUCGAGACAACGCGGAUGCGUCGCUGUGGACGGACAAAUCGCUGCGUCGUCGUCGGCGGCGGCAGCGGCUCUGGUGGGCACCGAGUCUGCGAUGGAUCGCAAAAUGCAACGUGAAAUACACGCGGGCUUUUCAUGUGUGUGUGUGUGUGUGUGUGUGUGCGUAUAAGUGUGGGCAAAGUAUUAGACUCGCACUCGUAAUUCGACUACCAUCAACGAGGAGUUCACCGCGCGUUGCGUAAUACACGAUUUGCCUUGGCACCGUGCGGAUUCUUUGGCGCAGUCGCAUUUGCGGUAGAUUGUUUCGCCUCUGCAGCCGCUUUAGCGCUUAAUGAAACGUCGCACGCACAGCGCAAAUUCGCGGAAACAAUGUGAGUCGAGAGAAAGAGAAAGACAGAAUCGUGCUCCGGGCGGAAUAAUAUUCUCGUCCUCGGAGCAUAGUCUUGGAAUAUCCUGAGGAAACAUUCUGUAAUGUGCUUUCGCACUCGCGUACAGAUACAGUUGGCGGGAUAUUUUCGGAAUGCACGACUCUCGUGUGUAAUACCAGAGCACUUGCUACUCGGGCAUUUUCGUUUCUCUCGACCGAGAUAUUCUUUGAUACAUUUCGACAAGUGUUUCCGAAGUGGACGGAGAGAAAUAGAGAGAGAGAGAGAGAGAGAGAGAAAACGUAAUUUAUUAUUAGAUGCUUCCGGGACUGAUAUUUGCUGCCAAAGGUGUACAUAUUCAGCAAAUUUUUUUUACGUGCAAUUUUGAGAGCAAAAACCAAACGGAUACAUGCAGCGUUUGAAAUUAAACAUCCUCAAAUGUGUCGGACCAUGAGAGUCAGGGCGAACAGAUGCAUAAAUUGAGAUAAUCGUGCCGCUAUGACGUAGAGAAAGAUCAUAAAAAUUUGAGGGACAAGGACAGAGACUAUCGCGCUCGAGAAUAAGCAAAAAUAGCAGACAUGUACGAUUUGCAUGAUUUGAAAUCGAAGGUCUCCUCGAGCCAAAGUAUGAGAUGCAAAAGUCAACAUAAAUAGGUGCAUAAAUAUUGAGGUGAUUAGACAUCAUAAUAAUGCAACAGAUCAUAAAAGUUCAAGAGAGAAACAGAGAGAGACUAUUACGUUCGAAAAUAAUCUUCUAAAAUGAUCUCGGUUGUCACAUAGAAUUUUCUUUAAGUAAGUAAUCUCGUUAUCCUGGAGAAGCAUUCUCUCUCUCUCUCUCUCUCUUUCUCUGUUUUUCUUUUUCCGAGGUAUUUUCAUCUAGCGUUAGCGCUCGGCAAAAGAUACGGAUCGCUGUUCGCAUUUAUCCUCAACCGCUACAGCUGUGAGACGUGACUGGCGUUUUCAUAAACGAUGGUACAGCUCGUGAUAACUAUACGUCCCGCGUUGUACGAGGAUCCGUGCCGUUUGUCUUGCCGGGAGCUGCGAUACAUCGCGUCGGCCGAUAUAUCGCGCUCGCACGAUGGAAGGCUGGCUUCGUAAACAUUUGACGCAAUCCCGACAUCGUCUUUACAUAUGUCGAACACUUCAUUGACGCACUGCUCGCUUUUGCCGCAGUGACGUAAUCCGAGUCGCGUCGUUUCUCAAUGACACGGCGAAGUCAUGGCGCGAGGAUGAAAAUCGAAAUCAGCCACGGGAAAGGGUCCUCACUGUCUUCACGGAAUUGCGAUAAUCCGCUGUCAAAACGUGUCCUUCGUCCAGAUCGAAUCUCUGUUCUUGAUUUCGCGGUAACACAAAUUACGCAUCGUUGUGUCUGAUCUCCCACGGCGGAACGAGAUAUCUCGCACCUCAGUGUGAUGUAACUUUGCGGCAUGAACUCUUUGCAAUCGUAAUAAUUUGAACUCAGUCUCUACCGGUCAGCUCGUUCUAAAUUUUUCAAUCUGUUUUUUGUACAGAAUAUUAGAAAGAAAUGGACUUUUGAGGUUUUGGGGACUUUUCCGUAAGAUUUUUUGUCGUGAUUUUCCGUCAAUAAUGUAAUUACAUGAUCCUCAUUAUAUCAUCUCAAAGCAAGUAAUUAAGUUCCUGAUUAAUAGCCAUUACUUGAAACUUAUGUAAGAUAUUCGGAUCUGAAUUUAGAAUUACGUGAGAGUUUUUGUUGCAAUUUUGUUGCAAUUUUCACUACAGUAUUUUCUCUGUAUACAGGUCUGAGAGUCACACGUGGGAUAAGUUUCAAGUGAUGAUUAUUAGUGUAAAACGCUUAAUGUUCUUUCGACCUCGCAAGCAACUGAGAGCAGACAUACGAGUGCAAAGAAUGAAUUUUGUGCCGCAUAAUUGGCGAAUUUCUUCGCGUCUUUUCGCAAAUUUUUCUAAAACAAACCGCGUGUUUUGUCGUCGUGUGCUAUUAUCAUGGAGCGAAUUUUGUUCUUUCUCUUGUGUCCGCCCAGUCCUCCGUGAUUUUCACUCGAGGAAAAUAUCCGGAACGCCAUUGCGAGCUCUUGUAUUUUUUUUCGCGUACUCUUACUCGUUUGCAUACCGGUUAGCCUUGGUAAAGUUCGUUGCUUUGCGUGCACAAUGCUCGGCCUCCGUAGGCUGCGGAAUUUAUUAAAUGUCACAGAUCGCCCGCAUAAUUUUCCACGGAAAGUUACCGGAAGGUUUUCGAAUCGUUUACACACACCGAGAGAAAAAUAUGGUCGAUCCAACUAAAAUUAUAGUUAUUUUUCGCCUCAGCCAUAUUUUUUGGUUGUUCUAAUACGGAAAUGAUAGUGAUGACACGCACAGAUCAUUGUCGUUAACAUUACAGUAGAAUUUAAUAAAAGAAGUGGUUUCUUUGAUUCAUAAUUUAUAAUAAUUAUUUCUCUGUGUGAUUAUUGUUACAGAUACUGAACAUUUUUUUUCUUAUUGUACUGACGCGUUGCUGAAUCGGAGAGAGCGUGGUUCAGUAAUGUGAUUAAGUAACAAAAUUCUCCAUUUCUACAUACACAUGAAUAAUAAUCGCGAUAUAUGUAUACAUUUAUUUAUUUAUUUUUACUUAUAUAUUUGUAUCGCGGCUUGGUCGAGAACACGUGGAAUAGAAAGUUGACUAAUCACGCCUGCCGAUUUAAUUGGAUUUAUCCUUCGCUUUGAAAGGUAGGAGGGGAAGGAGAAGUGAGAGAAUCUCAGGAAUGUAAAUUUAAAUCAGCAAAUUAUACCGCGGCUUCUUAUAGAUUGAUAAUUUACAAAUUGUUGUUCCCGCCUGUGAGCGGGACCUCCUGGCGAUUUCAUUAUAAUGUUGACAACGAUCGAGCGUGUGAGCGAUCGACGGCCAUCACAAAGGAAAAGGACGAAAGGUCGAGGAACAUUACGACGGAGUGAUUUAUCGCGGCGCGAAGUAUGUUUCGAAACGGCCGUUUGGUCUUCUCUUUCCCUUUUUUUUUAUACCGGCGUUACAUUGUGGAUGCGCGCGCGCGAUUGCAUCGGUGAUUUGCAAAAAUGUGACGCUCCCAUUAGUAAAUCAAUCUCGACGCGCAGCGUGCGCGCGCGAUGCGGUUUCAGUUUAAUAUUUAUCCACGUGCGCACACGCGGAGCGCGUGUAGCUUGUGGGAAAAUAUUUUCGAUUUGAUGUUUUGUUCGUCGUUGCCUUGAUCGCAAUAACAGGAAAUCGCUAGUUUUUCUCUCUCCCUCUCUCUCUCUCUCUCUUUGGCUUAUCGUGCGGACUUAUUUUCGAUUUCUUCGGAAAUAUUUACGAUUACCGGGAAAACGAGUUUGGGUAGCGAGCGUUCUCUCGUCUUCUAAGAAUAAAGCACAUGUACGCGUGCGCGCGCGCACACGCACAUACACGUAUGGACACUG